GUGAUCGCUUUGGCAGCACAUAUACUAAAACUGGAAUGAUACAGAGAAGAUUAGCAUGGCCCCCGGGCAAGGAUGACACGCAAAUUCCUGAAGUGUUCCAUAUUUUU
ensembl:snRNA U6 U6 spliceosomal RNA